rnacentral:rRNA from 1 species
GACGUAGGGGGCCAGCGUUGUUCGGAAUUACUGGGUGUAAAGGGUUCGUAGGCGGUGCGGCAAGUUGGGAGUGAAAUCUCUGGGCUUAACCCAGAGGCUGCUUCCAAAACUGCUGUGCUUGAGUGUGGGAGAGGCGCGUGGAAUUGCAGGUGUAGCGGUGAAAUGCGUAGAUAUCUGCAGGAACACCCGUGGCGAAAGCGGCGCGUGGACCACUACUGACGCUGGAGGAACGAAAGCUAGGGGAGCAAACAGG